CACGAAGGACCCGAGCGUUAUCCGGAUUUAUUGGGUUUAAAGGGUGCGUAGGCGGAUUAGUAAGUCAGUGGUGAAAGCCCGUCGCUUAACGGCGGAACUGCCAUUGAUACUGCUAGUCUUGAGUAUGGUUGAGGUGGGCGGAAUGUGUCAUGUAGCGGUGAAAUGCUUAGAUAUGACCCAGAACACCAAUUGCGAAGGCAGCUCGCUAAGCCAUAACUGACGCUGAUGCACGAAAGCGUGGGGAGCAAACAGG
rnacentral:rRNA from 1 species